rnacentral:rRNA from 1 species
AGUGAACGCUGGCGGUAGGCCUAACACAUGCAAGUCGAACGGCAGCACAGUAAGAGCUUGCUCUUACGGGUGGCGAGUGGCGGACGGGUGAGGAAUACAUCGGAAUCUACUUUUUCGUGGGGGAUAACGUAGGGAAACUUACGCUAAUACCGCAGACGACCUACGGGUGAAAGCAGGGGAUCUUCGGACCUUGCGCGAUUGAAUGAGCCGAUGUCGGAUUAGCUAGUUGGCGGGGUAAAGGCCCACCAAGGCGACGAUCCGUAGCUGGUCUGAGAGGAUGAUCAGCCACACUGGAACUGAGACACGGUCCAGACUCCUACGGGAGGCAGCAGUGGGGAAUAUUGGACAAUGGGCGCAAGCCUGAUCCAGCCCUACCGCGUGGGUGAAGAAGGCCUUCGGGUUGUAAAGCCCUUUUGUUGGGAAAGAAAAGCAGCAGGUUAAUACCCCGCUGUUCUGACGGUACCCAAAGAAUAAGCACCGGCUAACUUCGUG